GGGAACUCACAAGAGACUUCCGGGGUCAACUCGGAGGAAGGUGGGGACGACGUCAAGUCAUCAUGCCCCUUAUGUCUAGGGCUGCACGCAUGCUACAAUGGCCGAUACAAAGGGCUGCGAUACCGCAAGGUGGAGCGAAUCCCAUAAAGUCGGUCUCAGUUCGGAUUGAGGUCUGCAACUCGACCUCAUGAAGUUGGAGUUGCUAGUAAUCGCGGAUCAGCAACGCCGCGGUGAAUACGUUCCCGGGCCUUGUACACACCGCCCGUCACGUCACGA
rnacentral:rRNA from 1 species